GCUUGAAAAGUGCCUACCCCUGGCCUGGGAUGCUUCCUCCUGGGAUGCUCCCACUUGGAACCCAACUAUUGUGCUGCAGAAGUUUAACUUAACUGUGUAAGGAGGCCAAGAGGAGGCCCUGGCUGCCAGCCAGCAUCAACUUCCAGUGACGUGAGUGUGCCAUUCUGGAACUGGAUCCUGCAGCCUCGGUGGAGCAGCCUCAGCUGAUGCCAUGUGGAACAGAGAUGAACUGCCGCUGCCGAGCUCUGCCCACGUUGCAGAAUCAUGAGCAAAUAUGUUGUGGAUUGGCUGUAACUCUGCUCUGGGAUCCAGGCUGAAGGAGCAGGCUCUAUCUGGAACAUUACUAGUCUCCAGGCAGAAGAAAAAGAGACAAUGGAAUGGAUGAUUGAAUGGAUGAAUGAACUCCACAGGAAGAUGAGGAAAGCCUUUAUGGAUGGAGUGAGCUUGCAGCAGAGUCUCAAAGGGAAGAGUUUGAAUGUUAUCAUUUGGGCAAUGGGAAGCUAUUCCUGGGUCUUCACAAGGGAAUCAGUUGGUGAGAACUGCUGUUUAGAAAGACAGCCCUGGCAGCAACUCAAGCGCUGGGAGAGGACAGAACCACCAGGGAAGAGGGUAUGGGGAAGAAGAGCAGCAGGCUGAGGACAGGCCCAGGACUGAAGAAUCAGGCACAGGAAGAAGAGUCCAUGGGGCAGGCUGUGAAAUGGACAAAGGAAAACCAGAGGUGCUUCCCAAGCAGGGGGCCUGGCCACCAGAGUCCCAAGCUACCAAGAUGUCAAGUAAAGAAGAACUGAAAGCCAACUGCUGGAUGCAGCAGUGAGUGGGGGUCACAGUGGCCUUUGCCAGAACUGUUCCAGUGGAGGAGUAGAGGAAGAGAGAAAACCACAGGAGCAGGCAUCGCAAGCUCAUGCUCCACCCACACGUCCCCUUUCUCCUUUAGUCCUGUGACCCAUGUGCUUGCUCUCUUUCUCUCUCAAAGGAGAUCCAAAUUUAAAAAUAUGGAGCCAAGGGAAUCAGUUCCUUUGCGAACACACUGAACGUUAGUUUUCUUCUUCUCUUUUGCAAAAACUUCUUAUUUCACAAAAUACUCAAACAAAUAGACAAAGUACAGUGAAGUCCAGGUAGAUAUCAUCCACCUUCAGCAAUGAUCAAUCCAUGGCCAAUCUUUCAUCUCAACACUCGUAUCCUCAUUCUUGUGGAGCAAAUGCCAGACAUUCUUUCAUCCAUCAGUAUGUCAAUAUGUAUCUCUGAAAUAGAAGGACUUUUUAUAAAACAUAAUCAUAAUAUAAUUAAUAUUCAUUCCCCAAUUGU
rnacentral:lncRNA from 1 species